GGGACUGUGGCUCAGCGGUAGAGCACUUGCCUUCCAUGUGAGAGGUACUGGGUUUGAUCCUCAGCACCA
rnacentral:tRNA from 1 species